GUUGCACACUGUAGGCCUACUUUUUUGCCCACGACAAUAAAGACUUGAAUGUGAACAGUAGUUUGGGACGUGGUUUAACGUAGACAGUUUAACGUGGUUAACGUAGAGAGACAGUGCUUAUCUGCAGAUCUCCUCUGUGGUUAGGUGAGGAAUAAACGGGAACUCCUGCGCCGCCUGUCGGUGUUUGUAUAAAUGGCGUGCGCGCGCGUAGAAACGCAGAAAGAAGCGCGAGCGUCAUGGACAUCAGUGAGGCGGCGGCUUUACGGCAGCAGCGCAGCAUUAAACAGACUAUUCAGUUUUUACGCAAGGAUUCCGCCAACUUGCUGCCAUUAGAUGGCCUCAAGAAACUUGGAACGUCUAAAGAGGGGCAACCACACAACAUUCUACAGAGGAGGCUGCUGGAGGCCACCUUAUCACGGAACAGAUCGAACAACCGGAACAUGAAACCAGCACGCAGUUAUACGGUUCACAGCCCCAGCAUACACAGUGACAUUCAAGUGGCUGAGACUGACCUCAUUCAAGUCAUGUGUUAGUGCUUUGGGAGGGAUAUGAUAGCUACAUUUGACACUGGCUGUACCCUAGAUCUGAUGUCAUCAGUCAGUAUAGAGAAACUUGGCUUUAAGGAAAAGAUCAUCAGCAACAAAAAUGAGGAUCAUUUAGGGCCACUCCAGCACAACCUCCAAACUAUAGGACACAUCAAGCUGAGUUUGGUCAUUGCACAAACAGAAACGGAUCUUUUAUUUACUGUUGUGGAUGGUCUCAAUGUCACCCUUUAGUGGCCAGUGUGUCACUAUAGCAACCAUAUUAUACAACAACAAAGUCUAGUGGACUGCAAAGUGGGGGAAUAUAUGAACUUCCUCAAGAAUCCAUAAAGAAUGACAACAGCCUCUAUAUAUCAGCUCUCUGACAGUCCAAGUGUCAUCCCUGUGCUGCUUGGGAAGGACAGAAAUGUCACCUAUGUAUUGGACACUUCAGAGGCUAUGGCAGCAAUUCUGGGGACAGUGAAAAAUCUGAUUAUUCAAAUUCUGCUUACCAAGGCUUCUCUCAGAAACUCCUUCUUUAACAUCAUCACCUUUUCAUAUAAGAUAACAUCCUUGUCUGAGCACAUGAUUCCUUGUGCACCUGAUACAGUGUACCAGGCCUUCAGCUGGAUCCAUUCUCUCAGGACAAGCCCUGGAAAUGAUCUCCUUACAGCACUCAUUACAGCAUUUUCUGAUCCUGCCUGUCAGUCUGUCCACCUAGUGACAAACAGCCUCCCAGACAACCUGGAGAAUUGCCUGAAUUCUCUAUCUACAUUUACAGCAUGCCCUGUGCACACAUUUCAUGUAUCAGAAAAGCAGGAUUUGGACAGGGACAUUUUGGAUUUCCUAAAAUGCUUGACCUCUGCCACUAAAGGGAGUUGCUACAGGCUGUCUCUAAACUCUAAUGCCCCAGCUGAGCAGGUGAACCCCUUGGUCAGUAGUAGGAUAGGAACUAUAUCACCCAUUGUACAGUGCCCACCACUAAUACUGGCACCCUUGGUAAAUAUGAGCAAAGAAGACUGUGGAAAAUUUGUCUUUACUGUUAAACUUUUGAUUUAUUAAAAAAAAGUCACAAAAUACUCUGCUCUCAUGGAUAUCAAACAAUUGAAAACGAAACACAGGUUUAUAUUUAAAAAAAAAAAAAAAAAAAAAAAAAAAAACUUUGUCAAUACUUUGUGCUACCUUACUUUGCCAAGAUAACAGCUCUGAGUCUUCUCCUAAAAUGCCUGACGAGGUUGGAAAAUACAUGGCAAGGGAUCUGAGACCAUUCCUCCAUACACAUUCUCCAGAUCAUUAAAAUUUUGAGGCCCACACUGGUGGACUAUCCUCUUCAGUUCACCCCACAGGUUUUCUAUGGGUUUCAAGUCAGGGGACUGGGAUGGAUAUGGCAGGACCUUGAUUUUCACAAAACGAUUUUUGUGUUGACAUUCAUGUAUAUUUUGCAUGCUGGAAGAUCCAACCAUGGCCCAUUUAAUCUUUCUGGCAGAGAAAGUCAGGUUUUCAUUUAAUAUUCACUGAUCUUUGAUAGAAUCCAUGAUGCCAUUUUUCCUAACAAAAUGUCCAGGUCCUCUGGCAGAAAAACAGCCUUAAAACAUUAAAGAGCCACCACCAUAUUUAACUGUGGGCAUGAGGUACUUUUCCUUAUGGCUACCUCUCUGUGUGCACCAAAAUCACCUCUGGUGUUUAUUGCCAAAAAGUUUAAUCUGACCAUAGAACCCGAUCCCAUUUGAAGUUCCAGUAGUGUCUUGCAAACUCAAGAUGGUAGAAUUUGUUUUGGAUGAGAGUAGAGGUUUUUUCUUGAAACCCUUCCAAACAACUUGUGAUGUAGGUGACUUCGGAUUGUAGUUUUGGAGACUUUCUGUCCCCAAGAUGGAACUAACUUCUGCAAUUCUCCGGCUGUGAUCCUUGGAGAUUUUUUGGCCAUUUGAACCAUCCUCUUCACAGUGCACUGAGAUCAUAUAGACUCACGUCCGAUUCCAGGUUGAUUCAUAACAUUUCCAGUUGACUGGAACUUCUUAAUUUUUGCUCUGAUGGUGGCAGUGGGCAUUUUCCAUGCUUGUGCUAUUUUCUUAUAGACACAUCCCAUUUUGUGAAGCUCAACAACCUUUUGUCACAUUUCACAGCUAUAUUCCUUGGUCUUACCCAUUGUUAUGAAUGACUAAAGGAUUUUGGCCUAUGUGUCACCUCAUAUUUAUACCCCUGAGAAACAGGAAGUCAUGGUUGAACAAUUUCCUGUUCCUAGUCACCCAGGUGUACUAAAAUAUGUAUAAUGUCAAUUGGAAUAUACUUCUCUCAUAUGAAUUAACAGGGGUGCCAAUAAUUGUUGCACACCUAUAUUUAACCAAGAUUCUUUUUUAUAAACCUGUGUUGUGUUUGCAAUUUUUGAUAUCCAUGAAAGCAGAGUAUUUUUCUACAUUUUUUGAAUAAAAGAUCAAAAGGUUAAACAAUAAAGACAAAUUUUCAUAGCCUUCUUUGCUCAUAUUUAUCAAGGGUGCAAAUAUUAGUAGAGGGCACUGUAUGUUAUAUACAUUUAUACCACAGCGCCGUUGAUUUCUCUGAUUUGUCAAAAGGUUUUGAUUAUUUUUCUGUAACAGCACAGCUCAUUUACUGCUAAUUUACAGUAUGGCUGAUGACCCACUGAUUCUAAGCCUAAUGAUAAACAGAUUGAAAAGGUUUUGUUAUUUAACAAAGAACGACAUAUAAUCAUUGAUAAGGUGAAGGUUUCUGUGGGGAGAUGUUUAUUUAAAAUUCAUGAAGGGAGUCUCGGGCAUGGUGAUUUAAUGGUUUGCACGUUCUCUCCGUGCUUCAAAGGUUUCCUCCCAGUCCAAAGACAUGCGUUUUAGACUGAUUGGCAUCUCAUCAUAUGAAUGAGUGUGUGUGAUUGUGCCCUACGAUGGGUUGGCACCCUGUCCAGGGUGUACCCCACCUAGUACCCCUGGAUAGGCUCUGAAUCUGUGUAGGAUAAGUGGUACAGAAUAUGGAUGGAAAGGAGUCUCCAGUGUCAAGGCCUUCUAGCAGAAAGUUUUCAAGGACAGAGGAGUUUACUCUUUCCAGUUUCUCAGUAACAUGACAAGCUUUUGUCUUAUUAACUUCAAGAAAGAGGAAAGAGAGAGGCUGGUCGAGGGAAUGACUGUUUUAUAUCUUAUAACUUGUCUCACAGAUGUUCCACAACAUUAAAUGCAACUAUAAACAUUUAAAAAUCAUUAACAAAUUUAAUUGGCAAAUUGCUGUGGUACAGGAGGAAUUAAACACUUCAGAACAUGCUGUUGUUGGAAUCAUCACAUCAUCCCAUCAUUGAUCAUUUUCCUGUAACAACACGUCAUGUAAAACAUGUCAUGUUUUAUUCCUUACACAUUUCAGUUUAUGUCUUAGAGAAAAGGUAUCCUAAAUCCUGUGCAUCAUUAUUAAUAUGUUUUCAUUAAUAACAGCUAGCCCUGUUGCACUCAUCAGAACACCAGAUUCAACAUUGGUCUCCUACUACAAACCAUUUCAUGCAGUCUGCAUCUCACCAUACUGGUAUGCCCUCUAUAUUAAAGUCCUGAAGAUUAGGGGGUAAGGGGUUCCAACAAGUAUUAGCAUCUAAGGAAAAAGAGAUUUAAGUAAAUUGGAAAAAUUGAUGUCUUCCAGGUGUUCCAUGGGAAACCCCUUUAGUGUGACAUCGUGUGUUUUAGGGAAGGUAGCAAGAGGUGCUGAGUUAUUUCCAGGUUGCCGUGUGUUAGCAAGAAGAGAGGUAGAUGGAUUCUACUACUUGGGGACAAUUGUACACCAGCUACAGGUAAAACAAAAGUUUGAAAAGUUCUCAAUACCUUUAAGUGUCAUGUGUGAUCACAACAUAAAUAUUUUGUUUACCCUAGGACAGGGGAGGACUCUUUAAGGUGACAUUUGAUCAAUGUUUGCCCAAAGAUGACACCAUGAUGGAAAUCAUAUCACCUCAGUUAACAUGUCAACCUGACAUGGUGAAUAUAACACAGGCACAUAAGCACAGUAUAGUACCAGGAGACACGGUAUUAGCUCCUUGGGAAUUUCAGAUGAGCAGAUAUGGUCCUGGCAGAGUUGUUUCAGGCAUGGAAGUAAGAGAUUCAGUGAAGGCUAAGGCCAAGGUUUGAGGGGGUCCAAAUAAAAUCUUUUAAUUGAACUACUCAAAUCACUUUCUGCAGUGGAAUACAUGUGGUUGUUUUGUGUCAGGUGGAAUGGGAGAUGGUCUAGUGGUGCUGUUUUGGAAUGGAAUCAGACUGCACGUUCGAAAAGACCUGGCUGUGUGGAUACCUGCUUCUCACCAUGAGCAAAUAAUCAGGGAACUGCAGCCUAAUGUGCUCAGACCAGGCUGCUUAAACCACAGCCACUGUAGUCACAUUAACUGGUCACCAGUCUGCUGCAUAAAUCACAUAAAUCACUGUCUUCCAACAACUCCCUCAAUGUACCUUCACUCAAUCAAGAACUGUCCCCUCUCUAAUCAAAACCUUCUUAGGGACAAUCAAUGGAAGGCACAUGAGAUUAAACCUGACCAAGUAAUUGAGCUGACAGCUUCUCAGGAGAUGAAGACUGAUUUGUCUUCUUCAGACUCAAGCGAAAACGAGGAAGAAGUUACAAAUGAAAAGUUAAAUUCCACACCAGGACUGGUGAGCUGCUCAGUGAACGGAGAUCUCAUACCUGAAUAAGUCCCAUACUGAGCCACAGAGUAGACCAGCCUGGAGGUGCUGGAGAAGAGGAUCCCCAGAGCCACACCACAAAAAAACAGGGCAAGUAACUAAGCCUCCAAAUCCAGGUCAUUCUUGCUUUGGAAUAAACAGUGAUUCUGGAUAUUCCUCAUCCAGUUUUGCAUCCAC